CACGUAGGGUGCGAGCGUUGUCCGGAAUUAUUGGGCGUAAAGAGCUCGUAGGCGGUCUGUCGCGUCGAAUGUGAAAACCCGGGGCUCAACCCCGGGCCUGCAUUCGAUACGGGCAGACUAGAGUUCGGUAGGGGAGUCUGGAAUUCCUGGUGUAGCGGUGAAAUGCGCAGAUAUCGGAAGGAACACCAGUGGCGAAAGCGGCUUCCUGGUCCAGCACCGACGUUCAGGCACGAAAGCGUGGGGAGCAAACAGG
rnacentral:rRNA from 1 species